rnacentral:rRNA from 1 species
UACAGGAGGGGGCAAGCGUUGUUCGGAAUUACUGGGCGUAAAGGGCGCGUAGGCGGCCUGCUAAGUCGAACGUGAAAUCCCCGGGGCUCAACCCCGGGAACUGCGUCCGAUAACUGGCAGGCUUGAAUCCGGGAGAGGGAUGUGGAAUUCCAGGUGUAGCGGUGAAAUGCGUAGAUAUCUGGAGGAACACCGGUGGCGAAGGCGGCAUCCUGGACCGGCAUUGACGCUGAGGCGCGAAAGCCAGGGGAGCAAAGCGGGG